UCAAUGAGACAGCCACUAGAGGAUUAGGGGGAAGGCUUAACCCAUUCAUAAUUAUAGCAGUUUCUCUGAAACUGCUAUAAUUAUGAAAAAAUGGGUUAACCCUAGAAGGACCUGGCACCCAGACCACUUCAUUAAGCUGAAGUGGUCUGGGUGCCUAGAGUGGUCCUUUAAGUGUGGCAAUCAGCAAGAACAUUCCAUAAAGAUGCCAUGAUAAUUGAGAUGAUGAUGAUAAUGAUUUCAGAAUUGUGUCAAUAACUUUUUAAAUCCCUCCCUGUUGAUAUUGUAAAUUCUGAAUGGAAACACUGAACAUUUGUAGAGAGCCAUACAGGAGACCCAUACUCAUACCUGAGCAGAGACUUCUCAUACUGAGAACCAAAGGGCAAGCUACUGAGUUUGCCCUUUCUCAUAUUUCUCACAUUCACUGUUUUUGUUGCAAGGUGACCCAUAUCCCCUGGUAUUUAAAGUGUUAUGUUAGCCUAUGCUCACCCUCAAAUGACUCAUAUUUUCCAAACUUGACAUUCAUACAAGCAUAUUACCUAACCUUAUGUCUAUACACAUCAAUUCUUUAUGGAAGUAUAUUGGUCAUAUUAUCUUUACUACACGAUUACCAUUGGCUCCAAGUUAAAACUUCUGCUUGGCAACAUUACUUACCUUUAGCCAAAAUACAUUACGGAUCAUGUAUAAGUGAGUUCCAUGUGACUCACUUUGUUAACCAAUAAGUGUUUAUUCAUGCACUGAACAAGAAGCAUUGUGAAAUUAGUCCACUAAUGGUCCAAACGUUAGAUACUGUUGUUUGAAAUCCACUGGAUAAAACCAGUCAACGUUUACUGCUCAGAAUGUUGUUGAAUUGCAUUUCCCUAAUCCUUGACUAUUAGUUGGAUCACGUGAGUUGUAUUCAGCAACAGCUAUAUAAAUACAAAUAUUUAAAUACAAAAUAACGCAGACCAAACCAUAGACUAGACAUGACUGCUUCACUUCAACUAUGCGUUUAUUUGUUUUUUUGUUAUGUUUUUUAUGAAUAAUUUUAUCUAAAUUCAAUUAGAAACAAUGAACAGCUUUCACGAGGGAACUUAAAGGGAACAGUGUUCAUAAUGUAAAUGUUUUCUUAAAUCUAUAAAGAAAUUGCAGCACCACCAAGACAAGGUGUAGGCCAUUUCCUGAACAAUGGCGCAUCAUCAGUUAUCUGAGCACUAAUAAUUAUACUGUUUCAAAUUGAAACUGUGGAUGAAAUACAUAUGUUCCUACGUAAAAGAACAAUUUUUUAAUUUUUUUUUACAAUUAGAAAUGUAACAAAACAUUUCCAAAAUACAAUUUAAAACAAAUUACAGGGAAUUUGAUUUAUAAAGUCCAUUGUUUUCUGAAUGCAAAAAGUUUAAAAUGGAAUACCUGCAAUUUCCAAUAUUUUAAAUGCAAUCAGGGGUUGUAAAUGUAUUGGUGAAUGUUAGGAAAUCCUUUCUUUGUACAGGGCAUUCUUAGAUUUAGCUAUUGUUUUCUUUUAACUUUGUGAUAUUAUAUAUUCAAUUUUUGUUAAGAGAGAAACAUUUAAUUUUUUUUUUUAAAUGAAUGCUUCUAGAGUGCUAUUCUCUGUAUAUUAAGAAACCCUCUGCGUUAAGUAUAACCCACUGCAAUGCAUACAUGUAAAGGCUCUACAUAUAAUACAAUAUAGAUAAGAUGUCAACAUUUUUUUUUUUUUAACCAAAUACCUCCCAUUAAACUCAUUAAAAAAAAAAUAUUCUUGAGAUUAAACAAAUAUUGCCUCCCUUAGAAACACCCGAUUGUAUACAUAACUAACAGGUUUAGAAAGCCUCGUGUAUAUAUGUUAAUCAACUCUCAUCAAAGCGUCUGAAAGGGAAGCGUAGUAAAGUCCUACCCCUGCUCUUCUUAAAUCUUAACUCAUGAUAAUCAAAGAAGUGUGUGCCUGCCUUGGCACUAACUGUUACUAUUCAUUAAUUGGAUGAAAGUUACUCCUUUCUGCACUUUAAGAGUUAAGAAUUCAAACUCUUAAUAUCUACAGUAAUCUGGUACCCAUUAUUAUAUAAUGCAUUUUGUGACGGGGGAGGCAUCAAAUUUUGUUUUAUCACACUUCAUUUUGUUCUGUAUAAUUGCUGCUUUUUAUGACAUCACCACCUUUGGUUACUGUUUUCAAACCAAAUUAUUGCCUAGAUAUAAACGUAUGUGUAUAUAUAUGGAUAUAGGAAUAUUCUAAUGUAGGACACGCACAUGAAUGCCAUGUAUUUCUAUGGUGCAUUAUAAAAAGCUUGUUUUUCAUUAAGUGGUUUGGAUAUAUUGGAUAAAAGAUGAUAUUUUUCUGUUUUAUUGUUCAUAUUUGCUGAAUAAGUUGGGGAUUCUUUGCUUUCUGUAGAAAACUGCUCUUUCUUGGGUCGUUCCCUUACAUGCAUUUAAUGCAUAGUUAAAUCAUCAUCAAAACGAGUUCUUUUAAUUAUGUUGCACUGUUAUUCCCAAUAGGAGUAUUCAAAUAUUAGACCUUUGUCUGUAUCAAUAGUUCUCGUGAAUAUUUGCUAGCCGAAAGCAAAACAAAAUGUUUGGGAAAGGCUUGUAGGACUUGUGAUUCCCUGACAACCAAGUCUGUUUUUUGUAUUACUAUGCCCAAUGUUUAUGCCUUGUGUAUGUAGAUAAUGAUGAUACAUAUUCACCUACCUUCUAAGCACAAAUGCAGUUUAAUUUAUAAACCAUAUUUAUAUUAAAUCUAUCUAUACCAGAGUGAACUUCCAGGUUUCCCUGUUAGACAAACUAUUGUAAAAAUUAAAUUUAGUGAUCAAGUCUUCCAUGUCUGAUAUGUAGACAUACUACAAGCCCAUCAUAAACGUUUGAUGGCUUAUAGGAAACACAAUUGUUUCCAUAGUAAAAUGAUAACAAAGAAUUACUUUCCUUAAAGCAAUCAUGAAAUGCUAUAUAUGUUGCAGAGGUUCUGAAAUGUCUUGUUAAUGAUUUGGAUGUUGAUAAAAACAUAACUGUUGGUUGUAAAAUGAGAAAUGUUUACCUUCAAUGUGUCAGCUAACAUGAUCUGAAAUAAGAUGUACAUUUUAAUUUACCAGAUUAAAGGGACACUAUAGUCACCAAAACAACUUUAACCUAAUGAUCAUACCCCUGCAGUCUCACUGCUCAAUUCUCUACCAUUUAGUAGUUAAAUUACAUUGUUUUUGAAGUACUAGUCACACCUCCCUCCACGUGCCCCACACAGCCUUCCUAAACACUUCCUGUAAAGUGAGAUCUAAUGUUUGUACUUCCUCUAUUGCAUAGUCUGUUUCGUUCACAAUUUCUUAUCUCCAGCUCUGUUAAUUGCUUUCUAGACCAUGCAGGAGCCUCCUGUGUGUGAUUUAAGUUCAAUUUACAAAGUAAGAGAUAAAACAAAAGCUAGCAAGUUGAAGUCUGAUUGAAAAUAAAACCAUUUAUAUUUUCAUGCAGGCUUUGUGAGUCAUUGCCAAGGGAGGUGUGGCUAGGGCUGCAUAGACAGAAACAAAUGUGAUUUAACUCCCAUAUGGCAUGUAAUUGAGCAGUGAGACUGCAGAGGCAUGAUAUACACCCAAACUGUGUCAUUGUUGUUUUGGUGCCUAUAGUGUCCCUUUAAGUAUGAUCAGAAAAUAAACCUCCCAGAGUUAUUCAGUAAAAUGUGAACUGGUGGGAAUUCAAUGUGAAUGUAAACAUUUAGUCCAAAUCAGUCAAAAGGGGUGGGAAAAAUUUUUUUCAGCCAGCUAUACUUUCAAUUGAUCUUUUAUUUUUUUUAUAAGAAAUUUACAUUUAGGUUGAAUUCCACACAAUUCCAACUUUAGUGAAUAAUGUGGCAUUACUGCAUUUCGACAAUAAAGGUAUGAUAGUAAUUUAGUGAUUAUGGAUGUACCAUAGUAUUUUCCUACAAGCCUGAGUUUAUUAUACCACCGCCAAUGCAGAUAUUCACUCUGAUUCAUAAAAUAUUUAUUAGAUAGAAUUUUAGCUUUAAAGGGUGACAUGAAAGUAUUGUUAAUAAGAAUUGAAAUGCUUUUAUUAAAGUCUUACGAUAAUUUGUCUUGUUUGCAGUAUUGGAGUUAGUAACAGAGCAAAUGUUUAAGUAGGAAUUGGUUCUGCUAGGUGAACAUAGGGUGGAAUGUGAUUUUUGUCAGGUCUUUAAUGCGAUGACUUAUGUCAAGUGCCUUUUGUAAUGGCCACAAUGUAAAUAUAACACUAUUAGAGAAAUGCAAAGUUUCCUCAGCAAUAUGUCCAUCAUUAUUCAAUAAAGAUUCUUUUUUUCCAUCUUAGCAAUGUGUUUUUCUUUUUAUUAGCAAACAUGGCAAAUGGGCAAUAUUGUAGACCAAAUUGGAUUCCAAUUAAUAAAAUGUUAAAACUCAUAGUUCAUAAUUACACAUUUUAUCUUGUCUAAG